rnacentral:tRNA from 1 species
GCCCAGAUAGCUCAGUUGGUAGAGCAGAGGACUGAAAAUCCUUGUGUCGCUGGUUCGAUUCCGGCUCUGGGCA